CAGGCUUGUGUCUCAAUAGAGGAUGGGUAUCUACCUAAAGUUACUUUUGUAGUGGUCCAAAAGAGACAUCACACCCGUCUCUUUCCUGUCAACCCCAAAGAGACCGAUAGAAGUGGAAAUAUUAUGCCAGGAACCGUGGUAGACACCAGCAUUUGUCACCCGAAGGAAUUUGAUUUUUACCUUAACAGCCAUGCAGGAAUUCAGGUAAUAUUAGCUAUGUCAUUUAACUUUAUGCCAUUAAUAUUGUUUACUAUUUGUUGCUCAAUCGCCUUUUCACAGUUCUGUGUUAUUUGCAUUUGGACGUGUUCUUUUUGCAGGGGACUAGUCGACCAACGCAUUAUCAUGUGCUGUAUGAUGAAAAUAAAUUCACUGCAGACCAGCUACAGAGUUUGACCAAUAACUUGUCCAUUCAGUUAUGCGAGGUGUACUCGAUCUGUCUCAAUAGUUCCUCCUGCCUAUUAUGCACACUUGCUAUUAUUCAUCAUGGGUGGAUGGGCGUUAUUUUGUUUAGUAUUGGUUAGAACUACUAUACAGCUUUUGGAUACAGUGGUCACUGGGUGUUGGUUGCUAUGGAUCUUUCGAGACUAAUAGUGUAUAUUGUUGUUGUACUUUUACUAAAUCAUGAAUAUGUUGUUGUAUAUUGUUGAUCAAAGAAUCAUAUAUUAAUGUUGUAUAUAUGAAGGAUUAAUGU